AACGAACGCUGGCGGCAGGCCUAACACAUGCAAGUCGAGCGAGGACUUCGGUCCUAGCGGCGGACGGGUGAGUAACGCGUGGGAACGUGCCCUUUGCUACGGAAUAGCCCCGGGAAACUGGGAGUCAUACCGUAUGUGCCCUUCGGGGGAAAGAUUUAUCGGCAAAGGAUCGGCCCGCGUUGGAUUAGGUAGUUGGUGGGGUAAUGGCCUACCAAGCCGACGAUCCAUAGCUGGUUUGAGAGGAUGAUCAGCCACACUGGGACUGAGACACGGCCCAGACUCCUACGGGAGGCAGCAGUGGGGAAUCUUAGACAAUGGGGGAAACCCUGAUCUAGCCAUGCCGCGUGAGCAAUGAAGGCCUUAGGGUUGUAAGGCUCUUUCAGUGGGGAAGGUAAUGACGGUACCCACAGAAGAAGCCCCGGCUAACUCCGUGCCAGCAGCCGCGGUAAUAC
rnacentral:rRNA from 1 species